rnacentral:rRNA from 1 species
GAUGAACGCUGACAGAAUGCUUAACACAUGCCAGUCUUUGGCGAAGCUGUGCUUGCACAGCCUAGCCAAGGCGGACGGGUGAGUAACGCGUAAGGAACUUGCCCUGCAGUCAGGGAUAACAGACGGAAACGACUGAUAAGACCUGGUAAAGUCAGGCGGACUCAUGUCCAGACUGAUGAAAAGAGAUGCUGCAGGAGAGCCUUGCGUCCUAUUAGCUUGUUGGUGGGGUAACGGCCCACCAAGGCGAUGAUAGGUAGCCGGCCUGAGAGGAUGGACGGCCACGAGGGGACUGAGAUACGGCCCUGACUCCUACGGGAGGCAGCAGUGGGGAAUAUUGGACAAUGGGGGCAACCCUGAUCCAGCAAUUCUGUGUGCACGAUGAAGGUUUUCGGAGUGUAAAGUGCUUUCAGCAGGGAAGAAAAAAAUGACGGUACCUGCAGAAGAAGCGACGGCUAAAUACGUG